rnacentral:lncRNA from 1 species
GGAUGACAUCAGAGUGGUGAGGACUGAAGGCUGAGCCGCCACCAAAGAAAGGGCAUUAGAAAGAUGUCCAGUGACCCAGAGAAUCAACACGAUCCUGAAGUGUUCUCAACUUCUGUUUAUCUAAAGAGCAUUUGCCUAUCCGGCGCUUGAGUGGGACCAUGCUAUAGUUACUUCCCCGUGGCAGCAGGCAGCCAAUACAAUGUGAGCAUCUACACACUGGUCAUCAAAAAUGAAGAACUGUGUGGCAGGUACCUCAGCCAAGCUGUGUGUCCCUGCAGAACCCCUGUGAACUGAGACCUGCUGUCUGCACACUUGACUUCCGAGUGUCAGAGGGAAACUGCCGUGCUUCCUUCCUCCUGCCUCCUGCCUCAUACCGUGCACCACACUUCCUGGGAUGCUCCCAUGUCAGGCAGAAAAGAGCGUUAAGGAAUCUGAGCUGGACAUGAACAGCUUGUCAUGGUCCUGAGAUAACACAGUAACUAUACAUACUGCGUUCAGUGCUAGGAGUGGUCCAGAGUUGCUUUAAAGUACACAGGAGGCUGUGCAUGUGCCCUAAGCCAAACACCCUGCUGGCUGCUUUACAUAAGGGAUCUCAGCACUGAUGGAGGGUGGAGCCAGAUGGAUACCAAGGGGACUAUAAUUAUACAAUAUUUCAGUCAUAUAUAUGUGUGUGUGUAUACAUGAAUAUAUAUGUUAAUACUGGUGACAUAUUGAAAUAAUAUUUAAUAUUCUGUGAUGUAAACAUUUGGAAAUU